rnacentral:rRNA from 1 species
UACAGCCAUAUCACAUUGAAGCACCUCCUCUCGUGUGAUCACCGAAGUUAAGCUUCGUAGAGUCUGCUCAGUACUUAGAUGAGUAACCGCUUAGGAAUACCAUGUGCUGUAAG